CAACAAGUGAUUAAACUACCAUGAAAAGAAACAACUUGAAAAGGAAGAAAAGAGGGAUGGAAAAGAUGACGACAACUACAAAUGUUUUCCUAAUUCUGAGUUUAAUUAACCUAAGAAAUAAACCAGAUUCGGAAUUAUUAGUAAACUGGGUCGAAAUUGGUGUACAUAAAUCCAGAUUUUCGUUAAUAAAUCUGCCGCAACAUAAA
rnacentral:lncRNA from 1 species